rnacentral:rRNA from 1 species
GACGAACGCUGGCGGCGUGCUUAACACAUGCAAGUCGAACGGAAAGGCCCUGCUUUUGUGGGGUGCUCGAGUGGCAAACGGGAGAAUAACACCUGAGUAACCUGCCCUUGACUUUAGAAUAACUUCAAGAAACUGGGGCUAAUACCGGAUAGGAGCUCCUGCUGCAUGGUGAGGGUUGGAAAGUUUCCGCGGGUGGGGAUGGACUCGCGGCUUAUCAGCUUGUUGGUGGGGUACUGGCUUACCAACGAUUUGACGGGGAGCCGGCCUGACAAGGUGACCGGCCGCAUUGGAACUGAGAUACAGACCACACUCCUAGGGGAGGCAGCAGAGUUUAAUAUUGCACAAUGGGCGGAAACCUGAUGCAGCAACGCCUCGUGCGAAAUGACUGCCUUCGGGUUGUAAACCGCUUUCGCCUGAGACGAACCGUGACUGACGGUAAUGGGUAAAAAAGCACCGGCUAACUACGUGCCAGCUACCUCGGUGAUACCUACGGUGCGAGCGUUGUCCGGAUUUAUUGUGCCUAAAGGGCUCGUAGUGGUCUGAUCGCGUCGCAAGUGUAAUCUUGGGGCUCAGCCCUGAGCGUGCUUUCGAUACGGGUUGACUUCAGGAAGGUAGGGGAGAAUAGAAUUCCUGAUGUAACAGUGAAAUGCCUAAAUAUGCAGGAGGAACACCAGUGGCGAAGGCGGUUCUCCUGGGAUAACACUGAUGCUCAUGCACCAAAGCGUGGGGAGCGAACAGGCUUAGAUACCCUGGUAGUCCACGCCCUAAACCAUGUCUACUAGGUGUGGGGUCCAUUCCACGGGUUCCGUGCCGUAGCUAACGCUUUAAGUACCCCUCCUGGGGAGUACGACCGCAAGGCUAAAACUCAAAGGAAUUGACGGGGCCCCGCACAAGCGGUGGAGCAUGCGGAUUAAUUCGAUGCAACGCGUAGAACCUUACCUACGCUUGACAUGGAUCGGAACCCUGAAGAGAUUUGGUGGUGCCUCUUUUGGGGUCGGAACACAGGUGCUGCAUGGCUGUCGUCAGCUCGUGUCGUGAGAUGUUGGGUUAAGUCCCGCAACGAGCGCAACCCUUAUCAUUAAUUGCCAGCACGUUAUGGUGGGGCCUCAGUGGAGACCGCCGGGGUCAACUCGGAGGAAGGUGGGGAUGACGUCAAGUCAUCAUGCCCCUUAUGUCCAGGGCUUCACGCAUGCUACAAUGGCUGGUACAGAGAGUGGCGAGCCUGUGAGGGUGAGCGAAUCUCGGAAAGCCGGUCUCAGUUCGGAUUGGGGUUUGCAACUUGACCUCAUGAAGUUGGAGUCGCUAGUAAUCGCAGAUCAGCAACGCUGCGGUGAAUACGUUCCCGGGGCU